rnacentral:rRNA from 1 species
UACAGAGGGUGCAAGCGUUAAUCGGAAUUACUGGGCGUAAAGCGCGCGUAGGUGGUUCGUUAAGUUGGAUGUGAAAGCCCCGGGCUCAACCUGGGAACUGCAUCCAAAACUGGCGAGCUAGAGUACGGUAGAGGGUGGUGGAAUUUCCUGUGUAGCGGUGAAAUGCGUAGAUAUAGGAAGGAACACCAGUGGCGAAGGCGACCACCUGGACUGAUACUGACACUGAGGCACGAAAGCAUGGGGAGCGAAC